UGGGGAAUAUUGGACAAUGGGCGAAAGCCUGAUCCAGCCAUGCCGCGUGUGUGAAGAAGGUCUUCGGAUUGUAAAGCACUUUAAGUUGGGAGGAAGGGCAGUAAGCGAAUACCUUGCUGUUUUGACGUUACCGACAGAAUAAGCACCGGCUAACUCUGUGCCAGCAGCCGCGGUAAUACAGAGGGUGCAAGCGUUAAUCGGAAUUACUGGGCGUAAAGCGCGCGUAGGUGGUUCGUUAAGUUGAAUGUGAAAGCCCCGGGCUCAACCUGGGAACUGCAUCCAAAACUGGCGAGCUAGAGUAGGGCAGAGGGUGGUGGAAUUUCCUGUGUAGCGGUGAAAUGCGUAGAUAUAGGAAGGUACACCAGUGGCGAAGGCGACCACCUGGGCUCAUACUGACACUGAGGUGCGAAAGCGUGGGGAGCAAACAGG
rnacentral:rRNA from 1 species